AUUGAACGCUGGCGGCAGGCCUAACACAUGCAAGUCGAGCGGGGCGGAGGACGGGUGAGUGAUGACUAGGAAUGUGCCUGGCCGUUGGGGAUAACGUCCGGAAACGGGCGGUAACACCUCAUACUCUCAGUUGAGCCUAGGGCGAAUUAGCUAGCUGGUGGGGUAAUGGCUCACCAAGGCGACGAUCCGUACCUGGUCCGAGAGGAUGAUCAGUCACACUGGAACUGAGACACGGUCCAGACUCCUACGGGAGGCAGCAGUGGGGAAUAUUGGACAAUGGGCGAAAGCCUGAUGCAGCCAUGACGCGUGUGUGAAGAAGGUCUUCGGAUUGUAAAGCACUUUAAGUUGGGAGGCGUUACCAACAGAAUAAGCACCGGCUAACUUCGUGCCAGCAGCCGCGGUAAUAC
rnacentral:rRNA from 1 species